GGCAAACUAAAGGAAAAAAAGAAAGAAAAAAAUAGUAAAUUAAAGGAAAAAUGAAAGAAAAAAAAAAGAAAUAAAAGAUAUAAAAAAAAUAAUAAUAAAGGGGAGAGACUAUAUAUAGAUUAUAUUUAAUUGAUAAGAGAUGUUAGAAUUGUAUAGGCUAAAUGGGAUAAUUAGAAGUUUAUAUCUAUUAACCCAUGUAGGUCUCAAGCGAAUACAAAUGAUGAAAUAAGAAUG
rnacentral:lncRNA from 1 species